AGGGGUGUAGCUCAGCCUGGCCAGAGCAGCGGUCUCCAAAGCCGCGUGUCGAGGGUUCGAAUCCUUCCUCCCCUGCCA
rnacentral:tRNA from 1 species